rnacentral:rRNA from 1 species
AAACCAACAGGGAUUGCCCCAGUAACGGCGAGUGAAGCGGCAAAAGCUCAAAUUGAAAUCCCUCGGGAAUUGUAAUUUGAAGUUUAAAGGCUAAGCUUUAGGUUCUCUUAAGUCCAUUGGAAAAUGGCGCCAUAGAGGGUGAUAGCCCCGUAAAGUCCAACCAAAAGCAAAUGCCCUUAAUCAAAGAGUCGAGUUGUUUGGGGAAUGCAGCUCUAAGUGGGUGGUAAAUUCCAUCUAAAGCUAAAUAUUGGCGAGAGACCGAUAGCGAACAAGUACAGUGAUGGAAAGAUGAAAAGCACUUUGAAAAGAGAGUGAAAAAGUACGUGAAAUUGUUGAAAGGGAAGGGCUUGCAAGCAGACACAACUUUUUUUUGUUGGGCCAGCAUCGGCGAGGGCGGAGGAAAAACAAACCAAAAAUGUAGCUUCGGUAUUAUAUUUUGGUCCCUAAGCCUCCACCCUCCCCGAGGCCUGCGUUUCUAGGAUGCUGGCGUAAUGGUUGCAAGUCGC